rnacentral:rRNA from 1 species
UACGUAGGGUGCAAGCGUUAAUCGGAAUUACUGGGCGUAAAGCGUGCGCAGGCGGUUGUGCAAGACCGAUGUGAAAUCCCCGGGCUUAACCUGGGAAUGGCAUUGGUGACUGCACGGCUAGAGUGUGUCAGAGGGGGGGUAGAAUUCCACGUGUAGCAGUGAAAUGCGUAGAGAUGUGGAGGAAUACCGAUGGCGAAGGCAGCCCCCUGGGAUAACACUGACGCUCAUGGCACG